AAAGCUGACGGAGCACGCCGCGUGAGUGAUGAAGGUUUCGGAUCGUAAAACUCUGUUGUUAGGGAAGAACAAGGCCAUAGUAACUGAUGGUGCCUUGACGGUACCUAACCAGAAAGCCACGGCUAACUACGUGCCAGCAGCCGCGGUAAUACGUAGGUGGCAAGCGUUGUCCGGAAUUAUUGGGCGUAAAGCGCUCGCAGGCGGUUCUUUAAGUCUGAUGUGAAAUCUUACGGCUCAACCGUAAACGUGCAUUGGAAACUGGGGAACUUGAGUGCAGAAGAGGAGAGUGGAAUUCCACGUGUAGCGGUGAAAUGCGUAGAGAUGUGGAGGAACACCAGUGGCGAAGGCGACUCUCUGGUCUGUAACUGACGCUGAGGAGCGAAAGCGUGGGGAGCGAACAGGAUUAGAUACCCUGGUAGUCCACGCCGUAAACGAUGAGUGCUAGGUGUUAGGGGGUUUCCGCCCCUUAGUGCUGAAGUUAACGCAUUAAGCACUCCGCCUGGGGAGUACGGCCGCAAGGCUGAAACUCAAAAGAAUUGACGGGGGCCCGCACAAGCGGUGGAGCAUGUGGUUUAAUUCGAAGCAACGCGAAGAACCUUUCCAGGUCUUGACAUCCUCUGGACCUCUAGAGAUAGAGUUUUCCCCUCGGGGACAGAGUGACAGGUGGUGCAUGGGUGUCGGCAGCUCGUGUUCGUGCGAU
rnacentral:rRNA from 1 species